CGUAGGGUGCGAGCGUUAAUCGGAAUUACUGGGCGUAAAGCGUGCGCUAGGCGGUUUUGUAAGACAGGCGUGAAAUCCCCGGGCUCAACCUGGGAACUGCGUUUGUGACUGCAAGGCUAGAGUAUGGCAGAGGGGGGUGAAUUCCACGUGUAGCAGUGAAAUGCGUAGAGAUGUGGAGGAACACCGAUGGCGAAGGCAGCCCCCUGGGCCAAUACUGACGCUCAUGCACGAAAGCGUGGGUAGCAAACAGGAUUAGAUACCCUGGUAGUCCACGCCCUAAACGAUGUCGAACUAGGUGUUGGGUGGGUAAAACCAUUUAGUACCGAAGCUAACGCAUGAAGUUGACCGCCUGGGGAGUACGGCCGCAAAGGUUA
rnacentral:rRNA from 1 species